rnacentral:lncRNA from 1 species
UAAUCAGUGACUUAAUUUGUUGGUUUAAACUUCAAUUGAUUGCAAAAUGAUAUAUGAUAUACUGAUUCAUAACCGUGAACCUGGAUACUGGAUGCUGGACUUUUUUUUUGAGGAGUGAAGCAUAGUUACUUUUUUUUUGCAUAUUUGAUCAGUCAUGGAAAUAGUCUAUUUACAGUCGCUUUAUUUUCUUUUUUAUUUACCCUUUUGUCACUGUUUCUAGUUUGGUUGGU